rnacentral:rRNA from 1 species
CCCUUAGAUGUCCGGGGCCGCACGCGGGCUACACUGAAGGAAUCAGCGUGGCUUUCUCCCUGACCCGAAAGGGUUGGGAAACCCGUUGAAUCUCCUUCGUGAUAGGGAUUGGGGCUUGAAAUUGUUCCCCAUGAACGAGGAAUUCCCAGUAAGCGCGAGUCAUAAGCUCGCGUUGAUUACGUCCCUGCCCUUUGUACACACCGCCCGUCGCUACUACCGAUUGAACGGUUUAGUGAGGGCCUCGGAUUGGUCUCGGCCCGCUCUUUACCGGGCGGCGCCGUUGGUCGAGAAGACGCUCGAACUUGAUCGUUUAGAGGAAGUAAAAGUCGUAACA